UUGAAUCACAAUGCCACAGGUCUGUCAACGGGGUCUACAAGAGAGUGGGAACUGAGGGGCAGGAGACACAAAGAAUGAAGACAACACAGGCUAUCUGCUCAAGUCUCAAGUCUCGGUCUCCUUUAUUGAAAGGCAACUACAGGCAUGGAGGCUCCCAGGAGGUCGAUGCCAACUCCUGGAGGAGGAGAUUCCCGAGUAUGCAUGCCGGCUCUGCUCUGGAAAGGGGGUGCCAGUGUGCUGGACUUGGUCACGGAGAGCACGCUCAUCUUAUGGCUUGGUGUGCAUGUCUGACGUGGGUAUGUACAUGAGUCCAGGUAUCUGAGGAGGCCUUGGAUCCCCUGGAUGUUGGAAGCUGCUUGACAUGGUGCUGAGAACUGAACUUGAGCCCUCUGGAGGAGCAGCCAGUGCCCUUAACUUCUGAGUCAUCUCUCUACCCCUGACAUUGUUAGAGAUUGCUGGGGAAGACUCGUACUUACUCUGUGUGUGACACCAUGC
rnacentral:lncRNA from 1 species